rnacentral:rRNA from 1 species
GGGACUAAUAGGCUCACACAGAUUGCGCAUUCUGUGGUGCAGCACUCCCAAACUGCUUUCAUGCCGGAUAGAAACAUCCUUGAAGGGGUGGUCGUCCUUCAUGAAACGCUCCAUGAAAUCCAGUCCAAGAAGUUAGAUGGAGUCAUUUUUAAGGUGGAUUUCGAGAAAGCGUACGAUAAGGUUAAAUGGCCAUUUCUCCAACAGGCAUUGCGUAUGAAAGGUUUUGAUGAAGCCUGGCGACGUCAGGUUGAAUCAUUUACGCAAAAAGGGAGUGUGGGAAUUAAAGUGAAUGACGAUAUUGGUCAUUACUUCCAGACACAUAAAGGCCUUAGACAAGGAGAUCCGAUGUCCCCUAUCUUGUUUAACAUUGUGGUUGAUAUGUUAGCUAUCUUGAUAGGAAGGGCUAAGGAGAAUGGUCAAGUGGGUGGCUUGGUACCUCAUCUGGUUGAUGGAGGUGUAUCCAUCCUACAGUACGCUGAU